GGCUAUUUUCGCACGUAUCUUUGACAUGAAAAUGCAUUAACAAAUCAAGCGAACAUAGUAUAUCGGUAUAUGUGGGAUAUAAUAAUGUGCAUUCAUCAUUGCAAAAUAGUGGAAAACUUUAAUAUACGCACACAAAUCGUUUGCUUUGUGCGGAAGUUAAUUGAUUAGUUAAUCAGGCAUAUUUUACGACAGAGUCCCGUCUCUCAUUUGUUUGCUCUUAUGACACAAUAAUAUAUUGUGCAAGGUUAGAACAAACACAUACAUAAAUCCGUAAAUCUGUCCGGCUGUAAUAAAGACGGGAAUGAUGAACGAUAUGGCCUGAUAAUAAAACUCGACCAAAAAUACAGUUAAACGUUCUGCAAAUAUUGAAAAAGCGAAGAGUAUGCCACAAAUUGCCUGAGUUUCUAAAACAAAGAGCUUAUCGUACAUAAGCUUCAUAAAAACAAUGUUGAUUAUCAAGUAGAGGCUUUACCCAAUCUCCCCCCCUUGCAGGGAUCGGGCGGGGGUGGUGAUCAGAAGACAUGUGUGCUUAUUCCGACAUAUGACAAGCAAGUCUCCUGUUUGUUUGUGGCUUAUCAGAGAGUAGCAGAGAGCUUUCAGUAUGCUUUUGUUAUUUCUGACUUUAUUUGAAGUGUUCGUUCGUUGUUCCACAAGCGGCUGAAAGAGGUUCAAAGCGGUUUGAUCAAGCUUGUGCCUUUGUUUUGUUGUAUCGUACAUUUUGCUGUUUUAUUUACGUAUUCGGUUUUUUAUUUUCAUUUUUGUAUUUUAUUUUUAUUUUUGUUUUCAACUCGAGCGGCUAUUCGCCAGCUUUGCCAAAGCGAAUGGGGCACAAAAGCAAAAGCAAAAGCAUCGAGAAAUGACCACACCACCACAACAAAAGCAACAAGAAAUAGCGUGAGGCAUUCACAAGGCGGGGAGUGUGCGAGCGGGAGAGCAAUAAUGCUGUUUCUAUUAACAUUUAGUAGGUAAACAUUCAUACAAAGGAAGUGUUCCCCCAAAGACAGCGGGAUUUGCAUUUUGAAAAAUUGCGGAGAAUGUUGCUGACAUAGCUCAAACGGAAACAACAAAGUAAUUGAAGCCUUGUGGGUAAAUUGUUUAAGUAUGCACGAUUUGCUUCUCGAGCUUGCUUCGUUUGAUGAUGAUGAUUAUGGUUCAAGUAUGUUAAACAGAGAGAGUGAGAGGGAGUCCAAGGAGAAACAAUCUAUUAAGCGUUAAGUAAAAUGAUAUGCAAUUGUUAGUUAUUAUUUUUAGUACUCCCGCUACUUUAAGCUAGCAGCCACACAUUAUUUGAUCUAAAGUAUUGAUUAGCAAACAUUUAUAAUUAAAAAUAAGUAACUUUAUAUUUAGCACUUCAAUAUAUUGCGCAGUUUGCGAUGGUCCAUAGAGUGACGAACGUGUUCUGCAAGAUAUAGCCAGAUAUUGGCAGUAUAAACCAUUUAAAGCCAUAAUCUAAUCAGAUGCGACUAACUGUUGUUUUCGUGCGUAAUCACACCAAUUGAUAAGAACCACUGUAUAUAGUUAUUUAGUGUGACGUUUGACAGUAUUGCAUCAAAUACGACAAGCCAUGGCAAUUAUAUAAGUAAGUGUGAGUAAGCGAAAUUAGUAUUGUUAAUUGACAAUCUUAAGGGAUUGAAAUGAAAACGAACUGUGCAAAUGAUGCAAAUAAGCAAGACUAUUGCUAUUGGUAAAAGCGAAAAUUCGCGACCGCCUUAAAGAUUCUUGAAGAAGCCAAUUAGGUGAGGCAGGUGAGUGACACCAAAAGCUGCAGCAUAUGCAGACACAACAAAUAUGAUGACAAGUUGUUGGGGCGUCAGCGAAGCGCGAAUGAGAAACAAGGUCACUCUGCCAAAGCGCAGUCACUUGCAAAGUGCAUUACCAACACAUAUGCACAUGUAUGCACAAGUGUGUACACAUGUAUUUAUGUAGUCACGUCUAGACAAGUUUAAUAACUUGAGCAAUGCAUUAACAUUGAAGCGAAAGCUUUUGAGUGGGAGUGCAAAGAGUGAAGGAAGCGCAACACAGAGUGAAAGAGAAACAAUGCGACAGCUCUUGAACUAUUGGAAUCGGGUUCAAGGCAGUUGUGCACUUUCUUUGAGCUUUCGAGUGCUUUCACGAAAAUGUAAGCUAAAUAUGUAUUUAAGUUUUGACUUAAAGAUGACAAUCGAAUUACUGUCAGUUAGCUAAUUGUGUUUAAUAGUGCGUGGUCCAUGACUGUCAAACAGAAUUUGCGUGCGAGUUCGUCAA